UGUUUUGAGGCCAUCACCCAUUCACUGCCAUAACCAAAGCUGCCCAUUUGGUUUCCAAGUGUCCUUCUGAUUGCUAGAUUAUGAACGGCCAACCCCAACCACUUCCAGCAGAGACUUUCUCCAGGGAAACUGCUGUUGGUAACCUGCUUGGGAAAGAGAGGAGAUACUGCUGACAUUUUUGAUGCAAAAAAUGGAUUGCUAUUCCAGGCAGCUAUGACAGUAAUUGAGGAUCACACCGAGAAGCAUCUGCGAGCGAGUGCACAGCUCGCGGGAAGGCAGCUUCCGUCAGCCUCAGCUUCUGCCUCACACACAGACGAGGGAAACUGAGGCAGGACAGCACCCUGGGCACUGCAGAGAACCUGUUGACCACGAAGGCGAUGGCCACCAGGACUAGAAACACAACCACUGCGAUGACGCCCUGCGACCACGGCUGGAGGCUGCCCCGCGCUGCAGGGAGAGAGACACGGGUUAGGAGUUCAUCCUCGGGCUUUAUCUGCCCAGCUCCUCCCAUCCAGCUUCAGCAAGGUCCAGAUGAGAGCUUGAUCCUGCAAAUCCGAGCAGGACGUUGCUGUCUGCUCAGGCAGGCUUACCUGGGUGAUAGCAAUGAAAUAAACUACAAUU